GAUGAACGCUGGCGGCGUGCCUAAUACAUGCAAGUCGAGCGAACGGACGAGAAGCUUGCUUCUCUGAUGUUAUCGGCGGACGGGUGAGUAACACGUGGAUAACCUACCUAUAAGACUGGGAUAACUUCGGGAAACCGGAGCUAAUACCGGAUAAUAUUUUGAACCGCAUGGUUCAAUAGUGAAAGACGGUUUUGCUGUCACUUAUAGAUGGAUCCGCGCUGCAUUAGCUAGUUGGUAAGGUAACGGCUUACCAAGGCAACGAUGCAUAGCCGACCUGAGAGGGUGAUCGGCCACACUGGAACUGAGACACGGUCCAGACUCCUACGGGAGGCAGCAGUAGGGAAUCUUCCGCAAUGGGCGAAAGCCUGACGGAGCAACGCCGCGUGAGUGAUGAAGGUCUUCGGAUCGUAAAACUCUGUUAUUAGGGAAGAACAUAUGUGUAAGUAACUGUGCACAUCUUGACGGUACCUAAUCAGAAAGCCACGGCUAACUACGUG
rnacentral:rRNA from 1 species